rnacentral:rRNA from 1 species
UACGGGGGGAGCAAGCGUUGUUCGGAUUUACUGGGCGUAAAGGGCGCGUAGGCGGUCGUGACAAGUCACUUGUGAAAUCUCCGGGCUUAACUCGGAACGGUCAAGUGAUACUGUCGGACUAGAGUACAGAAGGGGCAACUGGAAUUCUCGGUGUAGCGGUGAAAUGCGUAGAUAUCGGGAGGAACACCUAUGGCGAAAGCAGGCUUCUGGGCCAUCACUGACGCUGAUCUGCGAAAGCUAGGGGAGCAAACAGG